rnacentral:tRNA from 1 species
AUUAACUUGGCAGAAUUAAUGCGCUUGAUUUAGGUUCAAGUUAUAAUAAAUAUUAGUUAAUU